GUGAAAUAGUUUUGUUUUAUUUUACUAAGCUUUCAAAAGAUUAUUUUAUUUUUUUUCUUUUGUUGCAGUACUCAAACUAUGGUCUUUAAAAGACUCGGGGCAAAUUGAAGCGCUUGUUGGUCCAUAUAAGCUUUAUGACACAUCCUUUCGAAUGCUCUGUGGAAAUGACUGGCUGUCAGAUGAGAUCAUAGAUGCAUCUCUUCUUCUCAUCCUGGAAAAAAGCACGAUACCAGUACAUAGAAUGGAAGCUAUAAUUGGAACAUCUAUCUUUCAUC